rnacentral:rRNA from 1 species
GAUGAACGCUGGCGGCGUGCCUAAUACAUGCAAGUCGAGCGAACGGACGAGAAGCUUGCUCCUCUGACGUUAGCGGCGGACGGGUGAGUAACACGUGGAUAACCUACCUAUAAGACUGGGAUAACUUCGGGAAACCGGAGCUAAUACCGGAUAAUAUAUUGAACCGCAUGGUUCAAAAGUGAAAGACGGUCUUGCUGUCACUUAUAGAUGGAUCCGCGCUGCAUUAGCUAGUUGGUAAGGUAACGGCUUACCAAGGCAACGAUGCGUAGCCGACCUGAGAGGGUGAUCGGCCACACUGGAACUGAGACACGGUCCAGACUCCUACGGGAGGCAGCAGUAGGGAAUCUUCCGCAAUGGGCGAAAGCCUGACGGAGCAACGCCGCGUGAGUGAUGAAGGUCUUCGGAUCGUAAAACUCUGUUAUUAGGGAAGAACAAAUGUGUAAGUAACUAUGCACGUCUUGACGGUACCUAAUCAGAAAGCCACGGCUAACUACGUG